GCUCAGGAGCUCAGAUUACUGCCUAAUUAAUACUGUAGUCACAGGUGUUUUAAUAAGAAAUGAACCCCCUCUCAUUCAUGAUAAAUACAUUUAAUUGUGUUAUAUCCUAGUUAUUUUUCUUCUUUUUUUAAGAAUUGGAAAAGUGAUAAUCUCGUUUUGAAAUUUUGUGUAUGAUUGUGUAAUCUUGGUUAUGUCUCUAUAACAUUUGAAGAAUGUUAGAUCUAUUUGGGGGUAGAAAAGGGAAAAAUAAGAAAUUGAAUCAUUAUUUAGCUCAUAUGAGGGACAAAAUAUGUACUUUAGAUAAAAUAAACAUCUUUUAAAAAAUCAUCAUUCUCAGCAGUCAUUUCUUUAAAGUUUUAGAAAUAUUUCAUGGUGACACUAACUACAGAAAUAUGUCAAACAAGUGUGAAUCUUAAUAACAUUUUAGUCUUUGCAUAUUUUCUCUAACUCACUGGAAACAAAAGGAGUUUCUGUAACUGUAUGAAUGAACCGUGGCAUGCGCGUGUUCUUUUAAGAAAGGCCAAGGGUGCCGUUCUAUUUUCUUAGCUCUGCUUUCAUAUUUAUGUGUCUCAUUUCCAGCUCAUUGCUGAUGCCUUAGUUGCACUAUCCAUCAACACUUUUAUCCUCCUUGUUCCUCAAAAAGAACAUAAAAUCCUUUUUUAUGUGGUGGUAAUAUUAUUGCAAAUAAAAGCAAAUACCAAAAUCUUUAUUAGUCUGCCAAAAUAAUAAACUAUUUAAUAAAAGCAUGCUGUAAAAAUAAGGUCAUUUGCAUCACUCAAGUUUCUUGCAGGAUAUACAGAGAAUUAUUGGUCAAAAAGUACAAACUGACAGCAAUUAUUUCUGUUGUUGAUCUAAUGCUGCCUGAAAAUGGGUUAAAAAAUGCAGUGAUGUUUUGCUAGUUUGCUGUCUUUAAAUGUUUGUUUUUAAAGCUGUUAUAUACAGAGGAGCCUGGGAGAAUCAAAUUUUUCAGAGCUCUUUUUUUUAUCACUCUUCCAUAACUGAAGAAGGUGAGACCAUACAGAACCUUCUAGAAAUCUUUGAGGCAAAACUUACAGUAACCUUUUGACUCCCAUAUUGCCACAGCAUCUAUCAUCCAAAUACUUACCAUUUUUAUAUUCCAUAUUAAUUGUAUUUGGUUAAGACUUCCAUCAGCUAUAGCUUUUCGGCUUUCUCUUUUGUCAUUCAUGAGGACAGAUCAAUUCAAAGAUUUUAUUUAAGAACUUGGUUAAAUAUUUAAAGUUAGUAAAAAGACACUUUUCAAAAUCAUGUAUCUAAUGUCUGAUCCCUUUUCUUACUGAACUAUAACCUGAUCAUUAUUUUCCCAUUGCAGUUUCUCUCCCCAUCUGGCAGUUCUGCAGAUAUGUUACUGGUUGAGCAUAGAGAAAUCAGUUGCCGUGGUGAGAUUUAAAUAUUUCCUGUGAUGCCCCUGUAUACUUACCCAGAAGAAUGUGCAAACAAACAUUAAAAACAUUAAACAAACAAACAUUAAAAACAAGCUAAUCUUACAAAAGUUAUCCAUCAGACAUAAAGUAUUUACCAUUUGCCACAGCGUAAAUGUUAUGGAUUGAUAUUUAGAACUGAGUUAACAGAUUUCAGAAUAGAUUGUUUUGUCUAUAAUUAUUACACUGAUAUUUUGUAACUAUAAAUCUCAAAAUAUUCUGCAAACUAUAACUAUGCCUACUUUACAGAUAGAGAAUCUGAAAUAAAAAAAAAAACCAGCUGAAAUAGCAUAAAUAAUCACACAAAUUGUUUACCAGAGAAUCAAAUUUUAACAUUCAUAUCACUGGUGGUGUCCCAGUAUUUUGAGGUAUUACUGCCUCUGCUUCUUAAGUACAGUAAGAGUUCUUCUCUUAGGUAUAUGAAGGAUGAGACCUAUAUAAAGUUUAAGUAUUUUUAAAAAUAUGUUAUAUAUAUUGAAAUGAGUACUUCACAGAGCCCUGUCAGUGUGUUCAGUCAUGCUCUAAACCAUAAAACAGCCAGCAGUCAUUCUCCACACUUCAUAGACUGCAGCCUGUUGAAACCUGAAUUAUCUCUUAUAUGAAAUAAUGUUUAGGAUGUCAUGUGAUAUAUGCAGGGUAAACACAUAUAUGUUAGGAGUAAUGCCUUUUCUUAUAAUGAAAUUGAGGAAAUUUGGUAUUUACAUACAGUAAUAGAUUCAGAACUGUAAAUUUCUGUCCUGCAAACAUUUGAGCUGAGUUACACACUCCAGUAAAGUCACCCACCUGUUUUCAAAAUUAGCUAAAUCGGUAGUUUCCAAAGUUGACUUGUCUGGAUAGUAGACACAGCCACAGCAGAUGCUAGAAUAGCAGCUCCCAGCUAUAUGUAGGACUGUGCACUUCAGCAUGAAGAGCUGUUCUGUUCCCAUGACAAUUGAAAUGCAGAAUGUGCAUAACAGUUUCAGAAUACCCCAUCACUAAUCAGCAGUAUGGUUUAAAUUAAAAGCACUUGCACUGUAUGUGCUUGGUAUUUAUUGGGACUGCUAUGCUCUGUAUACAUCAUUAAGAGAAACUGUACAGAUGGGAUUUUAAAAGACUUAGAUAAUUAUAUGAAUGUUAAUUAGAGCUUUGUCUAGUCAGGCUAAGAUAGGAAAUAAAGACAUCAUCAAAACACAUUUUUCAAAAUAUUAUAUACUGUAUUACCUGUAAAAAUCAGCACAUUCACAAAGGUCUGUUAAGGAUUAUUUUUGAAUUGAGUGGUUUAGGUACAGGUGUUAAAUAAAUUGUCAGUAGUGAAACACAUCAGGAAAGAUUCCUGUAGGUUAUAAUUUGUGACUGAAAACACUAUAAAUAAUUGAAAUUCCCUUCAUUUUUCAUCAAACAAACAAACAAAACAACAAUGAAACAGAAAAUAGGCAACGGCAGCUUGCAAAUAGAAAUUAAUGUCCACACAAGAAAAAACAGGGAUAGCUGUCCCUCUGGCUUAACUACAUAGGUGGCUAAAGCCAGAAAAUGUGUGAAAUGACCCCCACAGUUGACAGUCUACGUUUUCCAGCAAACCUUGGCAGAUGGGUAUUAAAACUUCUGCUCAUCUCAGCUCUUACUCCUGAAGUUGUAAAAAUUCUGUACGAGUACAAUGCACUGUAAAACUGUAUGUUUGUGAAAGUCACUGCUUACUCAAAGAUCAGAGACCAAGUGUCCUGAUUUUUGUUUCUGCCAAAUUUCUUAGGCAUUACAGAACCAAUCAGACAAUGAGGAGAGUUCUUUUUUGGUCACAUUCAGUUCUUAUCAAUAAGGUAAUCAGGAAGUAUUUCAGUUCAAAGCUUAAACAACAUAAAAGCAUACAGACAAAGAAGUGUUGGAAAGGAAGUAACAUGCCCUUAUACUUAGCAUUUGCCCACUUGUCACUCUUAAAUUCUCAUCUGCUUUUCAAAUGUAGUGUAAUCUAAUUUUUAUGCAUACUGUAUGCUCACACAGACAAUUUCCUCAUUUCAGAGUAUGUUGUUUGGUAAAGGCUUUUGUACUUUUCCUUAACCUGUUUCAGAAAUAGCACUGUCACCAUUUGUCUCAGUAAUAUACAGCAUGAUGGAAAUCGACAUUUUUCUAUGCAGAAAUAAAAAGAAUAUUGGUUUUAUCAAAGACUGAAUCCCCCCUUUCCCUCCAGUUAGAUUUGAAUUUGGUCACUUCAGGGCUUACUGUGUAGGAUGAUUUUAAGCAAUGGUCCCAGUGGUUGCAGGCUCUAUCACCUUAUAAUUGACCAUGACAGGAAUUAUAUGUCCAAAGCCAAGGGGUAGAGUGAAUAGCAUAUGUCAGGGUCAAUUACAAGGUGGAAGACCCUGGAACAAAAAAGACUGUACUGAUUAGAGCAUGUUGUUGGCAUGGGAGCUGACACUUCAAUGUUAUUUCAAAGGACACUGUCAAAUCCACCCUUCCUUGAGGUCUCAAAAUCAGAGGCAUAUUAUGUCAGUCAUUUAUGCUACAAUGUAAUAAAGUUCUGUUGGAUGCUGGAAGUUACAACUGAUUUGUUGCUUUCCUUGCAGUGAUAAAAUGUUUUAACUUUCAAAGUUAAGCUUGCUAUUUUCCUAAUUAGGAUAUACUAGUUCUCCAUACUUGUUAGACCAAUUGUCCCAAGAAAACGCUUACUGUAAGACGAAAACAGUUUGAAUGCAUCACAGUUAAAAACUGUUUUGAUUUUUUAAGUUAACAUUAUUUGUUCUGGCACAUUUGAACACAAUAGGAACAGUGGAGUACAAAGAAAAUAGUUCUUUUUAUUACUUAAAGCUAUGUUAUAAAUAUUUUAUGACAUGGGAAAAUUUUUGUAGUAAAACAAAUGAGCCAAAAAAAGCUGCUGUUUGCUUAUUCUCCUGAAACUUCAGCAGUUUUAGCCUAUUCAAAUGUUCUUAAUCAGUGAUGAACUGCAGCACCAUUUAAUAAAUGAGUAAUCAUCCCAAAUUAUCUAUCAGCACAAUAAGAUGCUGCUGUUCAGUUUUAGAUUUCAUUACACAAGUUCAAUUUCCUGAUUCCUUUCUUUAAAGCUGUUUCUUUAAACUUUUGCAUCUUUUUUAAAAAUAGACCAGUCAUUUCUGCCUACACGUGAUCACAGAAUCACAGAAUCACCCGGGUUGGAAGGGACCUCAAGGAUCAUGUAGUUCCAACCCCCCUGCCUGGCAGGGCCACCAAACAUACAUAUUCAGAUCAGGUUGCCCAGGACCCCGUCCAACCUGGCCUUGAACAAGUGAUGAUAGAGAAGAUACUGGAGCUUAAUUUCACUAACUUGACAGCUAAUUUCUCCCUGUUCUCAAGGGUUAUUACUCUGACCACAUUUUUCCAAGGUAUUUUGUAGCUAUCAAAUAUAUGGCUAAUUCUCAAUAAGUUAAUGCCUGUGGUUACAGAGUCAAAGUUGUUGGAUAACAGACUUGUUACAAGGAUUGCUGAAUCUAAAAAAUCUUCUCAUCCUCUAGAACAGUUAAUGAGAGAUAAUAGAUUUUAGUACAUAGAAAUGCUGCAAAAUUUCUAUUUUCAGAGUCUUCAUUGGCAAUUAAUGAAACUUCACUGGAAAUACAUCAUCUUAUAUAACAGAAACUUUGUUUUGAAAAUUGAACAUGUAAUUCUUCACCAUAUAAAUUCAUCUCUGAUCUACAUUUGUAAUAAUGUAACAUUGGAAGGGCUCUCACACUUGUUUUGUAUUUUAAAGUGUUAUGCAAAUUUUAAAAUUGAAAUGCUUAUUUCUAAAAAAUCCUUUUUCUUUUCUCCACAAGUGGGAAAAUGAGGAUUAUUUAACCUGUAAAUACUUUUCCAUCACAAUAGAAAUUAAAAUAAAUCAGAAUUCAAACUUCUACUGGCUUUUCGUAAAGGCAAUCAAAUAUUUUUUCCCCAUUGAAAGUACUAAAGCAGUUCAUUUCAAGGAGAAAAAACAGUAAAAUCCCACGAGUUAAAAAGAACAGGAAAAAUAAAGGCAAAUGGAGGAUUUUGCCAGUCUCACUUGACAAUUUCCCUUGGUGGUAAUUACUGUUAAUAGUUUAAGUAAUAAAAUAAAAAUUUUGAACACUGAAAACAGAUCUACUCAAGGGGAAAAACUACUCAGCUUUUGAUGAAUACAAAUUUUAAAUUGUCUGGUUUCUUCUGGAAACUGAAACAGAAUGGUCAUUUUCAUGAAGCAAUACAUCAAAAGGUUAAUUUUUGUUUUGACUCACUAUAGAUUGGUAGAUUGAUUAAUAAAAAGGUAGGAGUUUAUCAAAAGCUUGAAAAAAGUGUUAUCAUAUAUGUACCUUUCGUUAUUAGUACAGAAUCUGAAUAAUACAGUCUUAAGCUAAAUUCCCUCUCUGUUACAGUGGUUAGUAAAUACAGGUCUUCCACUCUGCUUGAAAGCUAAAGGAUGAAGGAAAGUUGCUGAAUUACAUAGUUAAGAAAAAUAGGUCAAAUUAUCCUGUAAAAUGACAAUCUUUAUCAAAAUUAGGAACUAUAGGAUUAGCUGUAUAUAUUUUUAGUAGCGUUGAUAUAGAUAAAGCACUUAACAGCAAGAAGUCAGUAGGUCUGAUAAAAGUCAGUGUUCAUGUGCAGUGCAGAUGGUGAAGACCAGAUCUGAGCGAAUGGCUGGAGAUAGAUAUCUGAAGUCACUGCCUAAAAAGAAGUGAACAGUAUGAUAUAGCGUUCAAACUAAUCUCAGUAGGGUGCAUAAUCUCAGGCAUAAUACCUUAGUAGCACGAUUAUACAGAAUGUAGCAAUUCAGCAAAGUAAUUUAUAUUUGCUGAACUUGAAACGAAGACAGAGUGAUCCUGAGUCCUUAGAUGAGGAGAUACACAUUUCAUAGUACAUAAGUACAGCACAUUCUUCCACUCUAGAAGCUUUUUACCCUAAAAAUAACUUCAGUGCAUCUGAAGAGUUGAUAAUAUCCUGUUAACGGGAAAGUAAGUGGAAAUUCAGGAAAGUUGUCAUUGGCAGUGUAUUGGAACUGCUGAAUCACAGCCUGAACCACUAAUUGAGCACCUGGGGAAAGGACUUGGUCAGCCCUAGGAGCACAUGUGAAGGCAAUUCACCUGUGUAACCAGAAGGGGUGGAACCUGGCUCCACCUCUUAGACCCCCAUUUAAUGGCUGACUGCCACUCUGGAAGGAUCUCUGGUUGGAGAUCCCUUACUGAUGGGGUCCUUUCUGCAAGUCUAGAUAUUUGGAGAUGGUCUUUCCCAUUGUAACAGGCAAGAAGCUGAAGAAUCUCCACAGAGAAUUCCUUAGCCUCUCUUAGAAAGAGGCAGAAAAUGGUGAGAGAGAAUCAUGGAGCCAUCACUGGUUUUUCUGUACAAACUAGCUAAUACUUCUCCAAGAAGAAAGGAAGCUUUGGUGAAUUUCUUGCUUCAGCUACUGCAACAGUAUAAUAGAAUGUCUUGGGCAACCAGUUUGACAGAUGAUGCAAAGUCUUUCGUCUACUGCCAUAUGGCAAAACAUUUUAAAAGCACCAGAGCUAUUUCAUCAGGUGGAUGAGACUGAAAAGAUUUACCUACUGAAUAUGUUUCAAGUUGUUUGAAACUAGCGCCCUCCUGGGUAAAAUGUAAUUUGUUUCAGUUUCACUUUAUAUUCAGUAUUCACUUCACAUUUGCUAUUGACAUUUCUCACAUGCUGAAUAGGCUUUUUACUUGUGCAAAUAAUUAGUGAUAUCUUCACAAAAAUUCCAGUCUUGAGAGCAAAUGGAGUAGGCUUUAGUCCUGUAGUAACUUCUAGUUCAAACAAGUCGGGAAAUUUGUUUUUUGAAAGCUGUAAAAUUGAGUGCAAUGGAACCAUCUGCUGAAAAAGAAACAGCAUUGUGUCAUUUAGAUAAUAAUGGACUUAUGAGAAAGAAACUUCAGAAUUAUUCUGAAUUAAGAUCUUUCCAGAGCUGCUAACAAUGAUACUGAGGAGUCAAUAUCUUUACAAGUCUUCAAAUUUGUUAUAAUUUUAUGUGAUUAAAAGUAUUGAUUUUAUA